UACGGAGGGUGCAAGCGUUAUCCGGAUUCACUGGGGUUAAAGGGUGCGUAGGUGGGCGAGAAAGUCAGUGGUGAAAUCUCCGGGCUUAACCCGGAAACUGCCAUUGAUACUAUUUGUCUUGAAUACUUUGGAGGUAAGCGGAAUAUGUCAUGUAGCGGUGAAAUGCUUAGAUAUGACAUAGAACACCAAUUGCGCAGGCAGCUUACUAGACAGUAAUUGACACUGAGGCACGAAAGCGUGGGGAUCAAACAGG
rnacentral:rRNA from 1 species